UACGUAGGGUGCAAGCGUUGUCCGGAAUUAUUGGGCGUAAAGAGCUCGUAGGCGGUUUGUCACGUCUGCUGUGAAAACUGGAGGCUCAACCUCCAGCCUGCAGUGGGUACGGGCAGACUAGAGUGCGGUAGGGGAGAUUGGAAUUCCUGGUGUAGCGGUGGAAUGCGCAGAUAUCAGGAGGAACACCGAUGGCGAAGGCAGAUCUCUGGGCCGUAACUGACGCUGAGGAGCGAAAGCAUAGGGAGCGAACAGG
rnacentral:rRNA from 1 species